AACAAAAACCUAAAACCCAAAACAGCAGCAUUGAGAGAGGGGAGAGCCUCUCUCUCAUUUCUUCUCUCUCGAAUCCAAAAAGGGAUGGUUGAUAUCUGUAAGUUGACCCAUGUAAUGGUGGCCGUCUAGCCAUAAGGAGACUGGCUCAACCCAUCCUCCUGGUAUGGUGCUCGGAUGUCCUCAUCACUUCUACCUUUACGAGAUCAUGAUGGCGAUUAUAGCAAAUGAUGAAUUUGGUAAUUUCUACCAAUGUGUAUGUUGAGGCAUCCUUAAACCAUUUAUUUGGAAGGGUGAAUCUUGAAUGUGCCUCAGUGGAUGUACUUACUUGGGAGGUGGAGGCUUUAUGUUGGCAGACCUAUCCAUUACCCUAAGUGAUUUUUUAUAAUUUUUUCUUCUAAAAUCUUUUGAAUUACUUAAAAAUGUUUUUUCUCCCCCAUUUGUUAUGUUCCUUACCUCUAGUUGACUUACUAUUAUUGAUCUUAUGCAACCAGACCCAUUGCUACCUUGAACAGCAUUUUGAAUGAUGAGAAUGAGAAAUGAACAGUUAUCCCUGUCUGAUUCAGUAAUGCUGAUACUUCUCAAAUCUGACACUUUGCUGUACUUAUCUUUCAUUUGAACCAAUUUGAUAAGUCAUAUUUUGUAAGCCUCUAAUUGGCUUAUCUUGUAAUAUCAACCUCAGGUUUUGGUUGUUACCUCAAGAUUCGUGCAUUCUGCUCUCUCUUGGCACUUUAGAGUUCAGACACCUUGGCACUCAAUGCUACAUGACACUCCAAACCAUGCAUAGCCUUUUUGCUGUGCCCAGCUGAUGUCAUUGAACAAUGUUUCAUGCUAGGCACUUUAACCUUAGGCAAGGGCAACACAUGCACAGAGGAUUCCCGUAUCAAUUUUUCUUGGAAAGCUUACCUGUGGUUUGGCUCCCCAAUAUGCACAAUGUCAAAUAUUGCACAAUAACUCCAAAAAACAAAGCUUGUGUUUCUGGAUUUCAUUGGAUCCUCGUCUCUGCUUCAUUUUACAAUAUUGUUGCUUGGUUGGCCAAACAAGUUCUCUUAAAUGCAAAAUGUGACGAAAACACUACAUGUCGUGUCACAAAGAAGUGGAAAAAUGUUACUUUUGAAAGUUCCAUUGGACUUUGAGUAACCAUGGACCGUUUUGGAGAUGGGGGUUGUAAUGAGCUAGGCUGCCUAGCCCGGCUUGAUCCGAUAGAGCUAGGGUUUGGGCCCCUAAACUUGGCCAGGCCUGCAUUCUGGCUUUAGCAUCUAGACCAGGCCAAUGCCAAUGAUGAAUGUCUCAGCUCGAUCCAAUCAUCAAGUGGUGUUACUAUUUCACAAAAGAAUGGAUGAUUUGAAGACAGUUGUGAGUAGUCCCUUUCAACACCUGCAACUUCAAAGAUGUUUUGGAUACAAGAUCAUGUUUCUAUAAUAAAUUCGUUUUUCUGAUGGGAUACCCUGUGGUGGAGGGUAUGCUGGAAUUUUUUUUUGUAGCUUUUGAUUAUUUGAAAACUUUGAUCACGACACUUUUUCCUCAGAUGGGUGACUCUAUAGAGCUCAAGGGACUAGGUUGUGACCAGAACUCAAAAGGAUAGGGGUAGUGCCAAUGUUGUCGUUGUUACCUGAAGACAUCUAUUUUCUAGGAUUUUUCCAUGCACUUGACGCUCAUAGCCAUGGCACGACACUUCGAAAUUUAUAUGGAUGAAGUGUCCUACUAAUGACAUUGAAAAGUGUUGCAUGUUAUAUGGACAAGGUGUCCUAACAAUAGCAUUUUGUCCCCCUUUUGUUAUGUAAAUUUCUAUAGUCAAGCCAUAAAUCUCUCAAUCUUAACCUUCUAAAUUCCCUCAAUUUCUCAAUUAUCAACAAUAAUGGAGGAUCGAACAACUGGCUUUGACUGCAACGACGAGUCCAAUUUCUGAGAUUGGAAGAGGUGCUGUGAGUUGUUGAGAUGGUUUCAAAAAAUUCUCUGUUAUUGUUGGCAGGCAGCAAGUUUUUUUAUGGAGAGUUCUAUGGCAAGAGACGUCAAUGAUGCGAGUUGCUAUAGGCAACGAUGUUGAUUUCGGCAAAUUCUGGCAGCUACAGAUGACAAUGUUCACCCUCAUGGAUUGCCGACCCGUCGUUUAUUAUUAUUUUUUUAGUGAAAUAUAAUUAGGGUUUUUGGAACGGGGCUUUCUAUUAUGUCAACAAAAAACAAAGGCAUUGUGUUUUGAUGGCGCCAGUGAUGGCACAAGAAAGGCCUUUUUGUGCGGUGGUCACAAACAAAAACCCCUGCAGUAAGGUUUUUGCAUGACCUGUAUUGUUGACGAUAAACAAUGUGAGGUUCAAUAAGGUCGAACAAUGCAAACAAAGCGAGGGUUGCUGCAGGGUGCUAGAUCGUCAACAAUAUAUGGAAUCUUCAAACAUGUGCUUUGAUUACUGUUGAUUCUCUGUUUCUAAUUGCUUGUGCUCGUCCAUGAACUGAACCCCUGUAUGGCUACAAUUAUUUAUAUAGGUCCAUUGAAUUUUAGUCGUUUGAGGUUUAUUCUUGUUUCUAGCUGAAGAUAUUGGUCUCAUUCAAUUGUUAUGACAUACGAUCAGGUCUCUCCCAUUUAUUGCUGUAGACUCUUUCAAUUAUUUUAAGGUGAUAAAUUAUGUC